UUGCUGUGAUGACAGUCUUUGGGACACCUUUGGAUUAACCAUGAAAAAAGCAUGUUUUGAACAAC
ensembl:snoRNA SNORD58 Small nucleolar RNA SNORD58